UACGGGGGGUGCAAGCGUUGUUCGGAAUUACUGGGCGUAAAGGGCUCGUAGGCGGCCAACUAAGUCAGACGUGAAAUCCCUCGGCUUAACCGGGGAACUGCGUCUGAUACUGGAUGGCUAGAGUUUGGGAGAGGGAUGCGGAACUCCAGGUGUAGCGGUGAAAUGCGUAGAUAUCUGGAGGAACACCGGUGGCGAAGGCGGCAUCCUGGACCAACACUGACGCUGAGGAGCGAAAGCCAGGGGAGCAAACGGG
rnacentral:rRNA from 1 species